GCCUGUGUAGUGUAGUGGUUUAGCACAUCGGAUUUUGAUUCCGGGGACCUCAGUUCAAACCUGGGCACGGGCU
rnacentral:tRNA from 1 species